rnacentral:rRNA from 1 species
GAUGAACGCUGGCGGCGUGCCUAAUACAUGCAAGUCGAGCGAACAGACGAGGAGCUUGCUCCUCUGACGUUAGCGGCGGACGGGUGAGUAACACGUGUAUAACCUACCUAUAAGACUGGGAUAACUUCGGGAAACCGGAGCUAAUACCGGAUAAUAUAUUGAACCGCAUGGUUCAAUAGUGAAAGACGGUUUUGCUGUCACUUAUAGAUGGAUCCGAGCCGCAUUAGCUAGUUGGUAAGGUAACGGCUUACCAAGGCGACGAUGCGUAGCCGACCUGAGAGGGUGAUCGGCUCACAUGGAACUGGGACACGGUCCAGACUCCUACGGGAGGCAGCAGUAGGGAAUCUUCCGCAAUGGGCGAAAGCCUGACGGAGCAACGCCGCGUGAGUGAUGAAGGUCUUCGGAUCGUAAAACUCUGUUAUUAGGGAAGAAAAAAUGUGUAAGUAACUAUGCACGUCUUGACGGUAACUAAUCAGAAAGCCACGGCUAACUACGUGC